CACAUUACUUGGUGUUGCCGUGGGUAAUUCCGACGGGCCUGAAAGGGUUAAUAGCGUGAACGCGCAUGAUGAUCGAUGUAGCGAACGCGUUCCGUUUUGUUGUUGCUCAAUGUUGACACACAUACAUGAAGGAGCUAAUUGAAGCAAAAGCGGUAGGAAAAAAAACGGCCAUAACAGAUUUGUUGAUGGUUCUGUACAGAAGGAAUGAAGAAAGAUGGUUUUCUUUCUAGCGUAGUGAAAUAUGUGUGUGAUAGUAUAAUUGUGAAAGUUUAAUUGGAAAAUUUGUUGAGUAUUGUGAAUAUUGUAGUGUAGUAUAGAUGAUGUAUUCAUUGUGUUAUUUGUAGAUCAUUGCUGUAACGAAGUCUUUGUAUUGAAGUCCCUGUUUUGUCAUCGUCUUGCAUAAAUCAUAUUACCGUUACUUACCGUGAGUUUGUUUCGUGUAGUUUAUAAAUUUGUUUAUAAUUAAAAUUAAUUGUUAAUAUAGAAUCGUCCGCUAGUCUACAGAGGUACAGAGCAGAAAGAGGCUGGUUGCUGUGGGAGAAAACUAGAUUUUGAGUUCGUUCACCUACCCACUUGAGAUCGUUUUCUUGCACCCGGAGGGUGUAACACUUAGUAUGGACGAUUUUUCCUUUUGCUAUUGACAAAUUUCCAAAAAUAUUUCGGAUUACGCCUAAGACUGAUUUGUACCCUCAUAACAUGUGCCUUGUACAGAGUUGAAUUCAAACGACGGUUCCGAAGAAAAGGUGUAGCUCAGACGCGCGAAAGUGGACGACGUUUUGGAGGCACGUUUAGUUGCAGCCAUUGUUGAACGAUACUACAGAAACUGUCCGCCAUAUCAUUAACAUCUUGGCAAUCACUUAGGUAACCCCACUCAAAGGUACGGACAUAAUCAGAAGCCGCACUUGAUGAAGGAAUAGAUAUGUUUCCAGCAAGCACUACAUUACCGUCCGUACGGCGGUUCAUUGAAGGCGGGGUUGGUUGUAAUCACCACAGAUUAAGAUCCUUUCAUCAUAAGAAUUGUUUUCACACAGUUCACGAACGGAACGUCUAAUAAAGCUGCAUCGUUACUGCG